rnacentral:lncRNA from 7 species
GGGUUUGAAUUGUAACGGCUCUCCGCGGCGGGUCCGCCGCUCCUCAGUGCUAUUGGUCGUCCGGGCGGUCGUUAAUGAUGGCUUAACGAUCUCAAACACUUCUUCAGGCUUCCUGGACAGCCAGUGUCUUUGGGAAGGAUGUCCUGGAAAUGAUGACCAAAACUGGGAGCAUCUUCCACACAGCAGCAUGAUGGAGAUGGCUGUAGGGCUGGCUGCAGUCGCCUGGGCUCAGCGAUGGAGCGUUGGAUGGGACGGAUAGAGCCAUGGUUUUGAAUUCAAGUAUUUUCAAGACACAGUUGAUCUGGAAGCCACGCGGGGGAAGAGGAAGAAGUCUCUGCAAAUGCAUUUUUUUGAUCUGCCUUAACACUACCAGUAUAGAGAAUUAAAUGGAAUUCAAUUCUGUGAUGAAGGAAUUAAUGGCAAUAUGGAGAAUCAGGUUCAGGUAGGAGACUUGAAUCCAAAGAAGGGAAUAAAGCCUUGAAAUUCAAAU